GAAACCCCAAGAUUCUAGCAGGUGGCCGUAGGUCUAGGGGGAGAAUGAUGUCACAGAGCAGGCAGUUCAAAGGUACGAGACAGCCAAUAGGGCGGCCAGAUUCCCCACAAGAAGAUGGGAUUGGGUGGAGGGAGUCGGGGGAGAGCUACAGCAGCACCUGCAUGGCUGAGCUCUGGGGAGGUGACAUCCUAGGAGCCACAUGUGCUAGUCUCUCUUCCCCAGGCUCUUAUGUCAGGGAAUCCUCUCAACGUUCCUUAUAGAUGUUCAUUAAUAGUUUGGAGAAGAAUCUUGCUCCAGAAGAAUGUUUUCACCCUUGGAUGUUUUUCUAGCAAAAUCUGAGAGCAGAAUGAAGAACUUGGACUGAUUAUUGAUGUAACACACACUCGCCACUAAUACAAACCAGAGGCCUACCUCGGAGAUCUUGCGGGUUCUGUUCCAGGUCACUGAAUAAAGUGAAUAUCGCAAUAUAAACAUUCCCUUUUAUGCCCCCCCUCCCCUGGCUCACCCCCUCCAGGUGCCCUACAAGCCUCCCAAGAUGCGACUCUGGACCCUUGGGCACAUACGUCCUGCCCUCGUGGAGCAGCGACCCAGUGCUCACGUGCUCCCACCGCUCUCCUGCCCUGUGAUCGACGCUUCCAGUGGAUUUUUCUUGUGUGCUUUUGGAUGGAUGGCGAUGUUUAGAGAGGGCAGAAACAGACCAGGUGGAUUGCGG
rnacentral:lncRNA from 1 species